UGCAGUCGAGCGAACGGACGAGAAGCUUGCUUCUCUGAUGUUAGCGGCGGACGGGUGAGUAACACGUGGAUAACCUACCUAUAAGACUGGGAUAACUUCGGGAAACCGGAGCUAAUACCGGAUAAUAUUUUGAACCGCAUGGUUCAAAAGUGAAAGACGGUCUUGCUGUCACUUAUAGAUGGAUCCGCGCUGCAUUAGCUAGUUGGUAAGGUAACGGCUUACCAAGGCAACGAUGCAUAGCCGACCUGAGAGGGUGAUCGGCCACACUGGAACUGAGACACGGUCCAGACUCCUACGGGAGGCAGCAGUAGGGAAUCUUCCGCAAUGGGCGAAAGCCUGACGGAGCAACGCCGCGUGAGUGAUGAAGGUCUUCGGAUCGUAAAACUCUGUUAUUAGGGAAGAACAUAUGUGUAAGUAACUGUGCACAUCUUGACGGUACCUAAUCAGAAAGCCACGGCUAACUACGUGCCAGCAGCCGCGGUAAUACGUAGGUGGCAAGCGUUAUCCGGAAUUAUUGGGCGUAAAGCGCGCGUAGGCGGUUUUUUAAGUCUGAUGUGAAAGCCCACGGCUCAACCCGUGGAGGGUCAUUGGAAACUGGAAAACUUGAGUGCAGAAGAGGAAAGUGGAAUUCCAUGUGUAGCGGUGAAAUGCGCAGAGAUAUGGAGGAACACCAGUGGCGAAGGCGACUUUCUGGUCUGUAACUGACGCUGAUGUGCGAAAGCGUGGGGAUCAAACAGGAUUAGAUACCCUGGUAGUCCACGCCGUAAACGAUGAGUGCUAAGUGUUAGGGGGUUUCCGCCCCUUAGUGCUGCAGCUAACGCAUUAAGCACUCCGCCUGGGGAGUACGACCGCAAGGUUGAAACUCAAAGGAAUUGACGGGGACCCGCACAAGCGGUGGAGCAUGUGGUUUAAUUCGAAGCAACGCGAAGAACCUUACCAAAUCUUGACAUCCUUUGACAACUCUAGAGAUAGAGCCUUCCCCUUCGGGGGACAAAGUGACAGGUGGUGCAUGGUUGUCGUCAGCUCGUGUCGUGAGAUGUUGGGUUAAGU
rnacentral:rRNA from 1 species